AUUGAACGCUAGCGGGAUGCUUUACACAUGCAAGUCGAACGGCAGCGCGGACUUCGGUCUGGCGGCGAGUGGCGAACGGGUGAGUAAUGUAUCGGAACGUGCCCAGUAGCGGGGGAUAACUACGCGAAAGCGUAGCUAAUACCGCAUACGCCCUACGGGGGAAAGCAGGGGAUCGUAAGACCUUGGCCUAUUGGAGCGGCCGAUAUCUGAUUAACUAGUUGGUGAGGUAACGGCUCACCAAGGAGACCAUCCGUAGCUGGUUUGCAGGGACGGCCAGCCAAACUGGGACUGAGACACACCCCAGACACCUACGGGAGGCAGCAGGGGGAAAUUUUGGACAAUGUGAUCAACCCUGAGCCAGCCAGCCGGCGGAGGCGAUGAAGGCCUUCGGGUUGUAAAGCACUGUAGGCAGGAAAGAAACGUCGCGGGCUAAUACCCCGUGGAGCUGACGGUACCUGCAGAAUAAGCACCGGCUAACUACGU
rnacentral:rRNA from 1 species